GUUCUAGUAGCUUACU
rnacentral:tRNA from 1 species